UGAGGACGUGGUUGCCCGUCCCUCCCUUGGGGAUGCCGUCGACUGCACCCGCCUCGCCUGUGCCUGGCCUGGCUCGCCUCGUGGCGUGGGGGCGAAAAGGGACAGGCGGCGGAGCGCUUACCGGCCGUGGACAGGAGCUGCCCUAAGGGAAGCUGGAAUGGCCAGAGAAAGGUGAAGAAGAAGAAGAAGAAGAGAUGGAAGGCUCUCCGGCCGGCAGCUGCCUCCCGCUGCAGGCAAGAGAGCGCCUGCCUCGCCGGGCGGAGGACAGCCGAGCGACCGGAGUGACAGCAAAGGAAAGGCGGAGAGCAGGAGAAAGAAGCGUCUGCGCUGGCAAGCUCUCCCGGCAGCGCCGAGAGCCAGAGCUGCGGUGCUGCUGCGCCGAUGCUCCGUACGUUCGCAGUAACGGGUAGAGCGGAAGGCUCCGUGGCCAGGGAAGAGCGGCACGGACACGUUCCUGCUCGCUCCGUUGCACCGGAAUUUCGACGGCUGGGUUCGGCCGCUAAAUUGAUGGCGCUACCGGAAGAAAUUUCAGAAAAAAAGGGUGGCUUUUUCGUCGAUCUCUUUGUGAGAGUAUCAAAUCAGGCGGCGGUAAAUACGUAGAAGCAACUAGGCGUACUACGGCGUGUACCGGACAGCGUUGGCGUGCCGCUCUGCUAGCAGCGGAGAGCCAGAUGAGGAUGCCCGUGAUAUGAGAAAAGCUCUGUCCAGAGAUAUGGAGACGAAAUCAGUUGUACCUCACCCUGUGACACCGGAAGACAUUGAGUAACUGUAAGCUGUGAUGCUCAGUGAAAUUACUAAGAGCGUUAAGUUUCCCGUGCCUUUGCUUUCACUCUCCCAUUCUCUUGUCUUGCGGCACGUCGCAUUUUUUGAGGCCGUGGAAGCGACACCGGGAGCGAUGGGUUGUCAGAACCAGGUCCUCCUGCCCGUCGCUGGGUUUGCUUACCUUCGCCGUCUCUGUGUACCAGCCUGCAUCUCUCUCUCUGUUCCUCAAUCCCUGUCCUCUCUUCUCUGUUCUGCUUUGUUUCGCUGCGUAUGUCCCGGUCCCUGUCCCACCUUUAUCCUUCCUUCCUUCUUCCUCGCCUUUUUCUUUGUCCUUUUGUCCUGCUCCCCGACCCUGUUUCUCGCUCCAUCUGACCGUCCUUUUCCUGGCACCUUUGUGUCUCUGCUCCUUGCCCCCGUCUUUCUCUCCCCUCUGCCCAGUCCUCGUCUCCCUCUUUUGUCUCUCUGUCCCUCUGUCCUCCUUCUGCCUCUGCCCCUCUGUCCUGCUCCCUGCCCCUCUUGUUCUCACUCUGCCCCAG